ACGUAGGUUGCAAGCGUUGUCCGGAUUUACUGGGUGUAAAGGGCGUGUAGGCGGAGAUGCAAGUCGGGAGUGAAAUCCAUGGGCUCAACCCAUGAACUGCUUUCGAAACUGUAUCCCUUGAGUAUCGGAGAGGCAAGCGGAAUUCCUAGUGUAGCGGUGAAAUGCGUAGAUAUUAGGAGGAACACCAGUGGCGAAGGCGGCUUGCUGGACGACAACUGACGCUGAGGCGCGAAAGCGUGGGGAGCAAACAG
rnacentral:rRNA from 1 species